CAGAAAGUAGUUUAAUGUAAGGAUACCAGCUUUGGGAGUUGGAGGUGGAGAUUUGAGCUCUCCCUUUCUGA
rnacentral:tRNA from 1 species